UACGUAGGGGGCUAGCGUUGUCCGGAUUUAUUGGGCGUAAAGAGCGUGUAGGCGGCCAGGUAGGUCUGCUGUGAAAACUCGAGGCUCAACCUCGAGACGUCGGCGGAAACCAUCUGGCUAGAGUCCGGAAGAGGAGAGUGGAAUUCCUGGUGUAGCGGUGAAAUGCGCAGAUAUCAGGAAGAACACCCGUGGCGAAGGCGGCUCUCUGGGACGGUAUUGACGCUGAGACGCGAAAGCGUGGGGAGCGAACAGG
rnacentral:rRNA from 1 species